GUAGGUUUUUGUUUUUUUUUUGUUUUGUUAUCUAAUCGUUAACACUGUAGAGCUAAUCAUCAUGUACAGAGUCUACUAGGCGUGUCUUUGUAGUCUUCAGUAAUGAAAAUCAGUCGUACUAAACCCUUUCUUACGGUAUCAGAAUCUUGAAUUCCUUAGGGUUUUUCUAUCACGAGUAAGACAAAUUCAUCCAUAGCCG
rnacentral:lncRNA from 1 species